rnacentral:rRNA from 1 species
UACGAAGGGUGCUAGCGUUGCUCGGAAUUACUGGGCGUAAAGGGUGCGUAGGCGGCUCGUUAAGUUAGAGGUGAAAGCCCAGGGCUCAACCCUGGAAUUGCCUUUAAAACUGGCGGUCUUGAGUAUGGCAGAGGUGUGUGGAACUCCGAGUGUAGAGGUGAAAUUCGUAGAUAUUCGGAAGAACACCAGUGGCGAAGGCGACACACUGGGCCAUUACUGACGCUGAGGCUCGAAAGCGUGGGGAGCAAACAGG